UUGCGGUUAAAAAGCUCGUAGUUGGAUUUCUGCUGAGGAUGACCGGUCCGCUCUUUGAGCGCGUAUCUGGUUCAGCCUUGGCAUCCUCUUGGGGAACGCUACUGUGCUUGAUUGCAUGGGGCGGUAUUCAAGACUUUUACUUUGAGGAAAUUAGAGUGUUCACUGCAAGCGUUAGCAAUUGAAUACAUUAGCAUGGAAUAAUAAUAUAGGACCUUGGUACUAUUUUGUUGGUUUCUAGAACUAAGGUAAUGAUUAAUAGGGACAAUUGGGGGCAUUCGUAUUAACGCGUCAGAGGUGGAAUUCUUAGAUUGCGUUACGACGAACUACUGCGAAAGCAUUUGCCAAGGAUGUUUUCAUUGAUCAAGAACGAAAGUAUGGGGAUCGAAGACGCUUAGAUACCGUCGUAGUCUAUACCAUAAACUAUGCCAACUAGGGAUUGGAGGUCGUUCUCUUUAUGACUCCUUCAGCACCUUAUGAGAAAUCAAAGUCUUUGGGUUCCGGGGGGAGUAUGGUCGCAAGGCUGAAACUUAAAGGAAUUGACGGAAGGGCACCACCAGGAGUGGAGCCUGCGGCUUAAUUUGACUCAACACGGGAAAACUUACC
rnacentral:rRNA from 1 species